rnacentral:rRNA from 1 species
UGGGGAAUUUUGGACAAUGGGCGCAAGCCUGAUCCAGCCAUGCCGCGUGAGUGAAGAAGGCCUUCGGGUUGUAAAGCUCUUUCGGCGGGGACGAAACGGUCCGCGUUAACACCGCGGAUCAAUGACGGUACUCGCAGAAGAAGCACCGGCUAACUACGUG